rnacentral:rRNA from 11 species
AACUAAAGCAAAGGAGAGUAAAAGGCAAAGCCAAGACUUCACACUUGGAAGCUAAAGUAGGGUCAGCCCUGGUUAGUACUUGGGUGGAAGACUACCACUGAUUACAAGGUGCUGUAGGUU